CGACAGUCCCAUAGUAUUUUUCCAUAGGGGUAACUUAUAUUAAUUUUUAGCUUUGCAAGUAGAGUUGCCUUGAUAAAUUAUUUAGUAUUAAGGAUAAAGCCUGACUAAAAUCUGAAAAUACAGAUGCUAAAGUACAAAAUUGAUUGGAAAAAAACGCUCUCUCUACGUUCUAUGCUCUCUCAUGUAUAAUCAUAUACGUGAUAUCCGCUAGAACCUGUUUCCUGCAAGGCAGGUUUAAUGCAUGCUCCGUUAGACGACGUGUACGUAUGCUGGCGCCAGCUACCGACAGGCGUCACAAAUGUUUGCCGCCUUUCUCAUCGGGUGACAAACUAUAUUCAGUGGAAAAUCUCGCGUGGUGGAAAAGCGUUGGUGCGGUGGAGAUCGGAAAAGGGAGUGGUGGGGAUGAUAGAGUGGGAGAAGAGGGGAAGGCAGAAGAGGGUGGAGUUUCACCGCGCAAUGUGUUCGUAUUGCCGAAGAAGUAGGAAAAACGGUCGAGUUGCUCGCGCGUGCCCGCUUCUUUUUUGCCCUAUCGCUGUCUCGUUUGCUCAACCAGGCUACUAGGCGUGGUUUAAAAAAGAUUUAGCGACUCGUGUGAGGGGGAGGUGGAGCUACCGUGGCGCGGAAUUCCAGAAUUCACGAACUGCGACGCCGCGCUGAAAGCGUCGGGGUGCCGUUUACUCUAGUAAGAAAGAGAAGGGGAGAAGAUAGAGAGGAGAAUUCGCGUUGCUGUGGCAGCUUUGGUGGGACGUGGUAGACCCAUCGCACGCAGGGAAAGCGACGAAGGGGAAACUAUACCGCUUCAGGCAGACCGAUCUAGCUCGACAACAGCCAGUUCAAUGCGCGCCAACAUUCUCUCAAGAUAUUUCCUUGUGUUCGACUUAUGCGUCGCCUUACUACCAUAUAUGCAUUCGUCUUAUCGCAAAAUAAUCUUACAAAAACCCUACUAGAGACAGUAUGCUAAAUAAUCUAGAAAACUGUUUGAUUUUCUACAUAGUACUUUUUAUUCCUGCUAUCAAGUCAGAUCGGUUUAAAAAAAAAUACAAAGUUGCCGAUAUGCAUUUGAUUUAGAAGAUGAAUUUAGGAUUUUUUCAAAUGAAAAGGAAAGGAAAAAGAAAUGUGCGUGACGGUGGAAGUGUUGGAAGUGUCCGCCGGAAUAGGAAAUGCAAGUGCUCAUGUUGAUGUAGUUAUGAUUCUGUGCGCAAGGGAGGCUGUCAGGGAAAGUUUGAAUGCUUGGCAAGAAUGUGCACAAUUUCUUGGUUCGUAUGUCAAUAUUCUCUGCACGUCUGAUAGGUGCUGGGAUAAAAUGCGUUCGCAACAUAACUUAUAUGUUCAAUACUAAUGCUACCUUUAAAAAUCAAAUAAUUAUUGUAGCACUCUAAUGAUAAAUAGUAUCAAAAAUUUAAAGCAGACACAUAACACAUUAUAGUAACACAUUAACCCAAUCAAUACUUCUUUUUUGUAAAAAUAUCUUUUGAUCAACGUCUAUACAGUUUAAUGUAUCUAAUCUGAUUAGGUCAAACCCCUAUCCGGAUUUUAAAGAGAAUCGUCCAAUCUUCCACGAGAUCAUUUCAGCAGAUCAUCAGUUCAAAAGCAAACGCUGAACAAAGUAACACUAAAAAUUAUAUUCACAAACCCUCUCUUGAUAAGAGUACAAGUCUUUCGUAAAGUGGAAAGUUAAAAACUAAAUAAUAUAUUAAUGAUAGUCGAACUAUAAAUAGUCUAGCAAACAACAUUAAAAACACCGACACGCGAUAAAAUGGUUAUUGUUAAAACGACUAAGUUUUGACUAUAAAAUUAAUCUACUUCUUCCUUUGAUGACACAACAAAUAAAAACACCUGUCACAAAUAUACGGAUGAAAAGUGACAGAUAUUAGUCAAAGACAAAAUAUAUGGGGUUGUGAGUGCGCGCGCUAUACAUUAUUUAAAAAAAUCAUACUUGGAAGAAAAAGUCUAUAGACUUGAAUGGAUUUAUUGUGUAAAAGUAGCAAGCAGAAUACCACUCGGUUAUCUUCGCACUAACGGAUCUGACUAUUCACAAAGUUGGCUAUAUUUGCAGCGUGGAUAGCGCGUGACGCAUGCUGACGAUGUUAGAGCGUUCUGCUCCCCACUCUUAAAUUCGAUCUAUCUUCCCCACCGCGUACGUUCGAUCCCCUACCGACGGUAUUGCAACGUACCGGACGCGACAAAGAUGGAAAGAUUCGCGUGUACUCCAGCUCGAGCAAAAUGGAACACGUGCCGUCGCGGUGGGGGCGGAGGAGGAGCGAGAAUCGCGUUGAGGUAGGGGAUAUCUAUUCACGACGAGAGGGGCAACCGACUGCUCUCACCCUCGCGAUUACCACACCCCUUCCACCAACCAGUGGUGCGCGUUUUCUCCCACAUAGCGGCGCUAACCGACGGGAUCUUUGUUACUCGCUACGCUCGAACGGCGUUUCGGUUGUGAGUUUGGAUGCUGGUGCCGCCAAGCGGCGAUUGCGCGAAACUCCAAGGUCGUCAGGGUGGUGGAAGAAUAGGUGGUGGGACAGGGUGACGUCGAGAGAGGAAACGCGACAAGGGUAGGGUGGACGAAAGGCAACCUGGUGGGGGGAAUCCAGAGAACGUAUCCGACGAGGACGGCGACAUACUACUCUCAGGACGCGCAGAACGUCAGAGUGGGUCGAGAACGACGGGUGUCUCUUUCUCUCUCCCUCUUUCUCUCACCACCUAUCGCUCUGUUCUUGUUCCUUCCGAUCAUUUUUCUCACUUCCACGCUCCUCGUGGAGAGGCAGAGGAACAGAGCUCGAUGGCGGGGCAAGAGCCGGCUUACUACGCGGCGAAACGCUAGCACGGCGCUCAGUCUUCAGCGAUCAAACCGCCAGGCAGUGUGGACCUUCCUGAACAGUCUCUUCUACUCUUUUCCAUCUCUUCUUUUUUGACUGGUGACGAUAAUCAGCAGAUAAAACUAGAAAACCGCAACAGUUAUUCCUUUGUUGGUGUAUUCGACAAUUUGAAGCAGUUUUUUUUACUGGAAAGAUCUUCAAUUAAACUAAGACCAAUGUCAAGAAGAAGAACUAAGCAGAAGAUGGACAACGGUUUCGGGGCACAGUGUUGAAGAUCAUCAAAGUUCGAAUCAGAUUCCUCGGGAUAACUUAUAGAUUGAUCUUACGAAUUUGGAGUAAAAAAUUAUUUGCGUUGAAAUAACAAUGAAGAAAGAAGAUUAAAAGCUGAUGAGAGACGAAUCGAAGCAGAUGUUUAAAAAACUUAUCGAAGAAUGGUGCUUGUUAUCAGUUCAAACUUCAGGAUAUGGAACCUCAAGAAUAUCUUCAAAUGAAAGGAUCAAGAAAGAAUUUAAAAAACUGUUCAAUACUUUGAAAAUGGAAUCUAUGAUACGGUUAGACGUGCACUACAAUAUUAUUACGUGAAGAAAGAGUAACGUAUUCACAAAGAUAGGUGCAUGCUGUGACGCCGAUGUGCAAACGCAACCAUGGGGAGCCGUGUUAAACCACGUGGGUACAUUAAAUCUUGUGAAUCUACUCUAUUUCCAUUCACAAGUAUAAGUUCGCGAUCUGGAGAUGGUGUAUUAAAACCAAGUAUCUUUAAGUAUCAAGUACUCACACUACCCGUGAAGAUCAUAAGGACAUUAAAGGUGCAACGUAACAGUGAUCACGCUAAGAGAUUCGUCGUAUCGUGUUAACGCUGUCCAAUGACGAUAUAACUUCGUAGAGGAAGAAACUGUAAAAAGAAACGUUGCGAGUGCGGGUAGUGUAAAAUGUAAAAAGUGGUAAAGUGGAGUAAAACUGCCGUUCGCAAGCAUAAGUUUCGAACGUAAUAUCCACUAUCCAUUGAUGAACUUAUUACUCGGACGUGUGAUCCGCCGACGGCACUUGCGAUUCGAGACACUUAGUGAUCAAAUAGGCAAGUGAGAUUCAAAGCCCGCGGUAAGAAGAUUGCAGCUGCUCAGUGGCACUGAUCGGUAAGGUAUAAGGAUUGGAGAACCGUUAAGCCGUAAGCUAUAUAACGCAAUAACUAGUUUUAAUAAAAUACAAUAAAAAGCUCGCAAUAUAAGUGUGCCGUUCUGCACGGUAUAACGCUCAAUAUUUUUACAAAACAGAUAAUGCACGUUUCGUAAAACAUUCGCUCGUUCUCGAGAGCAAAAACUUUUUUUUCUCGAUACUUUUCUUCAACUUAUUAUGUUUGCGUUUGCGAAAUUCAAGAUCUGAACCUUAUAUCGUCCGUAAGUGAUAUCGUGUAAUUCUACGAUGGUCGUAUCAAAUAUCAAUAUCGAGUGAAGUCGCGUGAUUUCGCUGUAGCUUAGGAGAUGUUGCGCACUAUCGCGUCGGGACUCGGCGGGACUAGAUCGAGUCGAGUCGAGUCGAAUGAAGAAUCCGGCAAGACGGUACGUCCCUGCCUUCGGUGGGCAGAUAGGGUAUAAUCAUACCGAGUUUCGUAUCUCGAGGGGGGCCACGGGAAGAUGGUCCAACAUCUGCCGCUGCAGGGAAUCUCUGCCCACAUGCUGGCCGGCCCGCGCGCGCACGCACACGUACGAUACGCGCGUGUGUACAGGCGCCUGUACACACGCGCUGUACACACGCGCACACGCGACGCACACGCGUAUACGCACGGCAAAAAGUGACGUAGGUACACGGUGGGACGUCAUGUAAAUUCAUUCGAAACACAUGGCAGGGCUCAUGGCGGCGUUCCUCUUGCGCGCAAAGGGUUUCGAAGUGAAAUCUCUUCGCGAAGAGCAGGACGCGCGGAAAAACAAACUAUAACUUUGGCUUCAACUUUGCGUGCCCUCUUGGUAUACCGUUAUUCCGUGCCACGUCGCCGCGACUGGGCGCGGAUAAAUUUGGAUUUCUUUUCUUCACCGAGCCAACGUAGCAAUGCGAUAUUUUAGUCGGUCACGAGUCAUCGCAGGUUUCUUUCGUGCACGACAAUAUGUUUAAUGACAACAAUGGUAAUUCUCAAUUUCUAGCUGGAUAGUAUUAGAAACCGUAAUAUUUUACGUGUCCGAAUAUGUUUAUUAAGCAAUACGAGUAAUUGGAAAAUAUAAAGAUGUAAUGGAUUUUUGUUUUUUUUUUAUUAUAAAUUUAUAAAAAUCUAUCAUAACUGAAUGUUAGCUAAUUAUGCAUAAUAUAAAAUAUUGGCUUUAUUAAAGAAGUUUCUGGGAUCUACCUUAUCACGAAUAUGUUAAUUAGUUAAUUCAUUAUUUUAAUAAAUAUGUUCCUCUUAUGUAAUGUGUAUAUACACGUACGUAUGCAUAAAUUCAUUACAUCCCCGUGAACAUAUUAAUUGGUUGCAGUUUAAUUUUAAUCGAUAGAUACUUAUCUUUGUUAUUAUCUGCACUAAUAGCCUAUGUUAUAUCGUUAUAUUUUAUAUUGCACAAAAUAAAUCUCUUCGUGCUCUUAAUAAUUUAAUUUCACGAUAGUGUACGUGAUUUUUUACACGCGGUAUAUUUUACAAAAAAAAUUUAUAUUAACAGUAUAACAUCAUUGUUGAAAAAGGGGAAUCAAUUGAAAAAAAAAAAGAAUAAUAAAACUCGCGCGCGGCAUUACAGAAGUGUUCCUAAUUAAAGUCAUCAAGCCAGUUGAACAAUUACCAUUAACUGCGUACGCUGCCGCAGCACUUACAACAACCGUCACGUUUACCGUUGCUGAAAAUGGUUCGUUCGAUUUCACUUAUGUGUAACGCCUUUAUUAUAAGAAAGAAAAUAGAUAUUUGCAAUAUUUACGAAGAACAUCUUCGACGUGUAGUAUUGAAGAAAAUAACCUCUUGGUGGUUUAAGAAAAAUUAAAAUUGCAUCUGAGAAGUAAUAGUGUAAAAAAAUAUUUAACUAGAGAGAUGAGCAAAUGCAAAAAGCAAAGAAAAAAAAGAAGAGGAUGCUGUUGAUCGGCGCGACUGCCAGAAGAGAGGGAGAGGCGGGACAGCUCAGUUGUCGCGCCGUUCUCUCUCUUUUUUUUUCACGAGAAAGAAACGUCUUCGUUAUGUUCGGCAAGCCGGAAGAUAAAAAGGAGCAAGGGCCUUCUCGAUGAGAGUCGAUUUCGAAACGUUUGCAGGCGCGCCGUGCAAAGAGUGCUGUGGCACAAUAAAGAUAACGAUUUACGUUUGACUUUAUCGCUGGGAAGCCAGGGCCAAUGACUCGAUGAACCAACUUUGUGUCUCGAUUGUUGCGAUUUAUAAGCAAUGUGCUUAAUGCCUCCUGAAUGCCAAGGUAGCGUCGAAAUGGAAUAUUCCUAACACGAAGCGGCAAUCAACAGCUAAUUAACGCUGCACAUAAUUAAAUAGCUGUAAAUUGUACUCAUUUCCUUUGACAUUCAGAUAACUUUAAGCAUCACACAGGAUAAAGAACAGAUCACAUCUUAUGGAAUAUUUUGAAAUUAAUUGCGAUUAAAUUAUGUGAAACAUAAUGAUACAGAAUUUUGCAAUUUAUGUUAUAAAAUAAAAUUUGUUAUGUGAUAUUAAAAUUUUUCAUCGAGAGAUAUUUUCAACGAAUUUCGAGAUACUAUUUUAUUGUAUUAAUUCUGUCGGAUUAUAUCACAAACUAUUAAUUACACUUUCGACAUAUUCAUUACGAAUAAUACGUUGAUAUAUACACGAUGAAUUAUGCAUUCGGUAAGUUUUAACUAGAGGACUAAAGUUACCUUGUAUGAUGUACUUAAAAUAAUCAACCAGUUAAAAAAAAUAUAUGGCUAAAAAAGGUAAAGAUACCUGUGUGUAUAAUGAUUUUUAAGAUAGGCAUACCUUUAUUUGAAAAAAAAAGUUUCUAAGAUCUGUGUGCGACUAUGUGAACUGCGCGACGGAACGGACCGUAUUUCUCCGUGAAAUUUAACGAACCCUCUCGCAAUGGGACACCAUUAAAAAAAUUCUUGAGCGUCAUGUCGUAGAACGCACGCAAUGGUGAUGAACGCCACGAAUGGGAGAGAGAAGGAGAAGGGAUAUUAAGAGAAAAAAAACAAGAAGAAAGAGCGACGACAUCGCGAGGCAUUUCACGCAAACUUAUGCAAAUGCAGUGCAACGCGCACACAUCGCGCAGUUUACGGUUUUAUACAAAGACUAUAAUUUACAAUUCUUGCAUAUCGAUAUGAUCGCGGAUAACAUUUUUGGAACAACCAUAAAUGACAGCGAAUUUUAGGCAAAUGACAGAAAAAACAAAUUGAAAUCAUUGAUCUGGUAGAAAUUUCUUGAGGAUUUUAUAAAAUACUUGAAAAAUAAGCUAUAAUUAAAUAUAUCAUAGAUUGAAAAUAUUAAAUUUUAUGAGAAGAAAGGCGACAACAUGAAUAUUUUUCUAAUUUUUAAAUAUCUUAAGUUUAGGUAAUAUGAUUUUUUUUUAAAACAAUUAUUCGUAAAGUUGUUAAUAUGAGAUUUGUCUUCUUUCACUUCUUCAAUUCGUUCAUGAUAUGCACGAUAGUUUUUCGACGAAGCAAGAAAGGAUUUAUCGCACGCGCUCGCAUACAGAUGGUUUUAAUUAUUUAACCUGACAUCGAAUGCACUCCCGCCGAAAAAGUUUGUGCCAUGGUAGAAACUCGAAAAUGCAUUUCGUGCACGUAACGAACUUAAAUGACCAGAGCGUGCACACCGGUUGCCCCGCGACCAUUAUCAGAUCAAUAAUUGCGAAGGAGAGCCAAACUUCUCGAACUUUGGAACUGUUUCUAGCAAAUUCAUACUGCCACCCGGCUUCUAACUUCUCUUUGCGUAUUGAUAAAAGAAUGCCGGUGAUCUUUCAAAGAGGAUAAAUUAAUAACAAGAUGGUCAAGUUUCUAUUAAUUAUAAAAGUAAUUUUAACUUCUGAGGAUGUAUUUAUCUAUUUAUUUAUAGAUAUCAUAUCAGAAAACUCAAUAAAAACAUAGAAACAUGAAUAAACGCAAGAAAUAUCAGUUUCCAAUAAAGAAAAGUUUAUCUAAACGAGAAGAGAUAUUACAGGUAAAUCACUGUACGCUUUUAAUUUAGCAUGAUUAUAUUCUAGGGACAAUAACUGCGUAGGCAGAUUAGGCCAAUGCAAUCUUGAUUGACAAACAACUGUUGCGGUGCAUAAUUAUUAUUCACCACACGUUAUGGCAUGUUCCAAACCGCGAGGCGGCGGUGCCUAGAAUCGAUAUUCUCAGGUUAACCGUACAUCCACAUACAUACGGGGCAAGGGGCUGCUCAUGGCGUUGAUCGUCACGUCCCCCAAUUAAGGUCUCGAGGUAGUUAACGAGCAAAAUAAUUAGGCUGUACACGACGAUGGCUAGGAUGACGAGGACAACGCGGUUCGUUAGUCCGUCUUCCCUCUUUGGGGUCGAACGAUCGUGCUACAUCUGGCAAGAUGGUUAACAAAAAAAAAAAGCGUCAGACGUAUCUUUUAAGCGGCGGGACAUACCAUGAACUAAUGUUUAGGAAGGCUUGCGUUACCAAACGUUAUACGUUGCCUGCAUGUAAAAUUGUUGAUCGGAAGAGGUCGCGGUUGCGGUAUUCGCAUAAAACGGACAAUUUUCAAAGCGUGCAAAUAAUUGCUGGAUCUAUUUUUAUCAGGUUAAGCGCAUCGUGUACAAGCGUUCCAUUAUCUCGCGACAGUACAUAAAGCUUUGCUUCGAUUCAUCAUUGGUAGAUCGAGAUGUACCGGUGUACCGCUCUAUCACGCGUGUCGCGUUACAACCGAUCGCAAUCAUGUUUGGCGGCUGUCUUGCAUGAACGUCGAUAAUAAUUGGAUUUGAUCGGAAGUUUCAGCCAUCCGUAGAGCUUUGGGAGUUAAAGCGCAGUGUUAACGAAACGUUGAGUUAACGACGCGACACGCUGAGCCGGUAACCCAUAAAUGCGCGGAUACCAGGGGGUUAAAAGCAAGAGGGAGAGAGAGAGAGAGAGAGAGAGAGAGUUGCGAGAGGGAAGGGAGAAAUCUGUGAGCGCCACCCUUUCGUAUGCAAAUCCCGGGACACCUGGAGCCAAAGGCCGCAUGCAAAUCGGAGCUCGGGCCAUCUGAUCGGGCAGUACCUCCGCCUCUGAACCGGUCCGCGUUUUUUGCGGAGCCCCGAAAAUCGCACGUCUCUGCCAUAUUUUUUUUUUCUCUUCACGGUAGUGGAACAUCGCUGGGAAUUCAACUCGUGAAAUUCAGUGUGAACGCGACAUCAUUAUAACUUCACCGCAAAACUGCAUCGCUCGCAAAUUAAAUUUAUGCAAACAGAUGUGUAUUAUUAACGUUUAAUUAUUUUCCUUUUCCUUUCUCGUUCUCGUCAUCGGUACAAUCAAUAUAAAUAUAUUUGAUGAAAAUAUUGAAACAAAUAAAAAAUCCUUCGAUCAUUUCUUAUUAGGCUCGAUGACAAAUUACCAUUUAUUCAUAAUCACGAGUCACUCAAGUGAGGAUCGAAUCGGAGCACGAUAAGCACGUAAUAACCGAUAUAUAUCUAAAACGACUUGUUAUUACGUCAGAUGGCUGAUUUAAAAAUUGGUACGCUCCAUUGACUGCAAAAAAAAAAUUGUUAAUGUACGACUAUGACGAGCGCGACAUGGCGAUCGCAUAAAUAGCUUCGAGCCAUUGAUUAAUAUCGAGCGAUUGCAGCUACCGUGAAUAUCAUUCGUUAAAAUGAUAGCGGAGGUACGUACCGGCGCAGCGCGGCGAGGCGCGGCGGGCGCGGCGGGCGCGGCGCAACGCGACGCGCGCCACCAUUUUUUCCCAUUGAUUUAUUUUACGCAAAAAGCGAGAAGCGCAUUUAUCGGACGUGAUUAUCUGCGCCAGUAGCAGCACGCCGCCGUGGAAUACGCCGCGCCCCACCGGUAAUCAUUAAUUAUCGCGCAGAUAAAUCGAUUGCGCGCGCGUCCCUGCGCGCGACACAAGCUAACGCCGGCUCGAUACGCGCAGGUAAAAAUGAACGACGGCGCGCGAGAGAAGGUGUAAAUCGGCGGGCAACCGAUAACGUGAAAAAAAAAUAAUAAUAAUCGCGCGACGAUAACGCCGAUGAAAAUAUUAUUGUUUGCGCACGCCACAUUCCUAACAGGCGUGCCACGGUGUGCGUUUCGUGUGUGCUGAGUGUUUCAAAAACUAGCCGCUGCUCCGCGUAUAUAGCUCUCUCUCUCUCUCUCUCUCGGCUCUACCUCCGCAGUUUAUCAACGUUGACGGUAUUUAAUCAGGUAAAUUUUCGGGCGUGUUGUAUUAUAUUCUGUGUUGCGCGCAUGUGUGUGUGUGUGUGUGUGUGUGUGUGUUGUAUGUAAAUGUGCGAAGAUUAACUUAUCCCAUUGUAAAGGCGGAUACGCGAUGUAACACAACUUUUUUUAGCGCGCGAUCCGCAUAACUUCAAUUAGUAGCAAGUUGUUCGUGUAAAGAUCGCAAACACGCGUGUUUAUUCAUAAUUUAUUCUCGAUAGAGCCGGGAAUGAGGAGACGUUAUGCCCACGGUAACGGUUCCCGUUAUCGUAAGGGGCGGUAGUUUCAGUUAUAAGUGCGACUUAUGCCACGCAUUAUAUCGCGUUAAACCCGUAUCUCUGAUAGUCGACGGUGCUUUUAACGCCGUUCCGAGUAAUCCGAUCUGAGGCUAGACGCCAACUGCACCGUAGCUUUAAGCGUGUGCAAAAUAAUUGCGGCCUUAUCACCGAGCGCUUAUCCUCCACGGCCCGAGAUGGUUGGCGAAGACGCGAUCUGGCGAAGCAAGACGGACGCGUGAAACGCGCAUGUAUCGACCCCAGUCAGAUCGUUAUCGGCUCGCGUCGUGUUGUCAGACUCGCCUCCUUCGUUUUGCUUCUUUCUCCCAUUUGCCUUCCGCGAUACGCCUAAUCGCGCGAUCUAAGUCGCAGCGUUGCAGCUUAUCCGCGACUUUUACCGCGGCGAAGACGUCACAUUGCCGAGCCGAGCCGAGCCAAACGUGAAACGCAGCAGAAACGUGAAACUUCGACUUCCCCGUUUCGCGCAACGUGAAUUUCGCUUAUCACGCGAGUAAUCGGUCUCCCCGAUGGGUUAAAAAUGAACGUCGGACAACAUCGCUAUUUCGGAGCGCAUGAGGUAAACGUGUUCGAACGCGAAAACACUUAGGCGUGACAUCACGCGGCAAAAUGUAGUUAUCGAUAUCGCGCUCAACGUUUGUAUCGCGUAACGCUUUAGAUAAUGUAUCGCAUUACGUUUUCUUCACAUACCUUAAAAACAAGUUUAGAUUAUUAUGAUUUGUCAUCGGAACGUGAAAAUAGCAAAGCUAUUUACUCGACAGAGCAGGAGUCUCUUCUUGGAUUAAAAAUAUAAUUUAAAUUAACAAUAAAGAUAUUAAAGAGCGGACAUGGUGUUUCCGUUAGAAUUGUUAAGUACAAAAUUUAAAAUUUUUAUGAACGUCAUUUGACCCAACGGAAAUGCGUAGUUCUAAUUAAAUUUACGCAAUGUUAAUUAUUUUAAAGUCGAUCGGAUCUGCAGAAAUAUUUAGAUUGCAAAUUGCAUAUUUAUCAGUUUUCAAUUUAUGUAAAUUAUGAUGCUUAAUUAACUUUGUGUUUGCGCAUCUAUCGCACGUGUUGUUUUAUCAAAUUCAAUUUCUUUCUUAAGUUUCCUUUAAAGAUUACCCUUGGAUCAUGAUAAUGAAACGAUUUAAGAGGUUCGCAUCGACUUGGUAUUUAUCUGCACACAUCUUUCAAAGAAGAAAUGAAGUAAAUGACGUCGAGGUGAAAACUAUAACUUUAACUUUGUUCGAAUAUACCAUUCAUUAUUUGGUGUAUUUAUCUUUCCAAAGUUUUCCACCGGAUUUGAUUACGAUAGAGGCGCGAAAAAAAUAAAUUCUGGUUGGUUCUGUCGCGUGACGAAAAAAAACAAGCUUUUCUAACGAAGAGAUAAGCCAGCGCUCUGUCUCUCCCCUUCGGCUCGGACAUCCUCCCUUUCCAUUCUUCGCGUCUGCUCUUCUAAUCAUUCAAUCUACCCGGUAUCCUCUCCGAUGUCAUUGCGUCUAUCGAGAGCGCCCGUGCGUGUCGGGUGUACGCAUGCACGCUCGGCAACGCUGAAGGACUGCCACGCCGCGCAGGUCAGCCAUCUUGGCUGACGUCAUCUCGCGCGUCGAGCACGCAACCGCGAAAUGCCGACUUCCUCGUUGCGAUAGCACCUUACUUUUUAUUACUCCUUUCCCCGAUUCUCUCCCUCGUCUAUCCUCCGCCCGGCGUUCCCUCCCUCCAUCCCUCCGUCGAGCUGCCGAUCUCUUUUUUUUUUCCUUCUUGUUCCUCUCUCCUCGCUGUGUACGCAUCGUCGACGGCGCGGCGUCGUGUAUAGACGUUCGCGUUUCGGUUGCGAAACGAAGCGAGACACCCCACCCGCGAUACAUGUAAAAUGGCGGAAUUUAAUAGAAAGGCGCUAUUCGCCGCUCGCAGUCGGCGUGGAAGCCGAGGCGGUCCACCGAUUCUUAUCGCUCUUAUUUCUAUUCCAUUCCUACGGAGACUGCGGGGGAGGGGAAUCGCCUAUAUCGACUCUUUGAUUGCUCGUAAUCUAUAGGUGAAUUUCGAAGAAAAACGCACAUUUGAGGAUUUAUAGUUCGCGCUGGGCACGAUCUCGACGUCUCUUGCGACAGCGAAAGACGAAUGUUGCCCGAUCGGCUGUGUAUAAAUUAUCGUAGAUCUCGUUCCCGACAAGAAUUUAUAGUUAGUUGACUCAGUGCCGGCUGUUAAUUUUUUCAGACUACCCGCGGUAGUAGACCGUGUCUAGCAGAGCAUCCGGAAUUUUCUGGCUUGACUCUUUCUGAAAUAUGUGCGCGUCGCGACACCUGGACGCUUCUCGAUGUUGCGCACAUUCAGUUAUGUAAACUGUACGUGAAUCUGAACAACGCGAAGCUAAACGCGUAAAAGUAAUUGUUAGCUAAAAUUAAUUUUAAAUCAAAUAAAAAUUAUUUAUCGAUCUUAACUUUUACACCUCCCAAACAAGCAACAUCGAAUUAGAAUAUGACAAUAUUUAAAAAAUCACUGAUGUAGUUGGUAAUUUUACAUUUUAUAGCACACCGAUUAAAUUCCAGAAAUAUCAGGUUUAUUAUUUCGACCCCAACCAACUUAUUGAUUGACCGAUGGGGUAAGUUAUCGAUCACCUCUCGGUGGAAUGUCAAAUUAACGUGAGAAUAUAAAACCCAUGGGGACAGCCAUUACGCAGAACGCGCACGGUCGCCCCGUCGCGCGCACUCGCACGUAUAUUUCUUCAGCUAUAUAAUAUACGUUUCCGUGAAAACCUGUAAUAAUCGGCGAUAACCGACGGGUUACCGCUAAAGACGUUAAUCGGCUAUCAACCGGAAAAGUACUAGGCACGUGCCCGAUGUUACGGCCAGGGACGCCCUCUCGAAUCGAGUUCAAAUUGACGUCGCGACGGUGCGCAUCGCGACAUACGGACAUCUAAAUUUUUCAAGGCAUUCCCGCUAAUGAUGAUCGUUCGGCACGUCAAGUUGAUAUCACGCGACGUGACGCGGUAAUUUGAAUUCGUGCCGGGUCAUUACUAUGUUUCGCAUUAUAGGGACAAGUUCAGAGGCUCUCGAGUCGACUACCAGUGCGUCGUGGUAAGUGUUUAUAACCGGUGUUAAAUCGGGCUUUUUUUACGGACUCAAUAAAGCGCGGUAAAUGUCGCUCACUUGUCGAUCUCCGUUCGAAGGAACCUGUUCGUGAUCCGGGUCAAGUUGUAAAAAUAGAGCGCAGGGAGGAGAAAGAGGGGGGAGGGGGGGUCGAAGCCCAUCGCUCAUUUAAUAUUUACAAAAAUAUGAUAAUUUAUUAAUGUUCGUCGGCACUUUUUGCAUCGAUACCUCCGAUUGGCUUCGCCUGCCACUUGAAAACCUGCUCCGUCGGGAGAAACGAGAUCAAAAACAAGAUCAAUAUCCAGUUGAGUUACUAAUCGAAUCUGUACUUCUUUAUUUUUUUCUUCUGACAUCGUCUCAUAUACAAUUAGCUGUUCGAUGCAUGAGAAAAAAGAUCGCGAAAUCAUGUGCAUCCCUUAAAAUUACUCUCUGCUAUCUUGUAAGAAUUUUUUUUCAAAGAAUGUAAUUUUCGAUUUGAGAUAAAUCAUAUCUGCGAUUUUAUCUCGUUUUAAAUAAACUAAGACCUCUUUUUCCUUAGGCUUAAUAUAGAGAGCCUAGUCCCUAGACCUAAUACAAAUUUCAGGUUCUUAGGCUUAUGCAGCCCUGCUUCGUUAGGCCUUUAUACAGCCAGCCUGACUGUUUUCUUGACACAGUCUUCGGAAAAUAUAUGUAGAAUAUUUUCGGUCGUUUGCCAUUGCCUUCUAACGGCGAUGAUAAUCAAUUAAAAAAAUCUGAUAUGUUCUGGAGCACAGAGAGCAGACGAACAAGUCUUUACGCCACGAUCACCUUCAUGAAUGUAACUUGAAUUGAAAUUUUCCAAUCAUAUUUGCAAAUUAGAGUCUUUUAUAAAGCGUUUUCCUUUUACGAGGAGGAAUUAGGAUCACUCGCAAGGACCCAGAGUGCGAUUUGUUUCGAGCGAAAUUAACGAUUCGUACGCGUCCGAGUUAUGAUUAUCGUCAUGUCGCGCCCUAUGUUAGGGGAAUUACCCGUUGGUGACGGUUACUCGUCCGCUUUACUGCCUACCGUGGCAUAGCUCUCACUGUAAUAUGCUAAUAGGUAGAUGGUAGCUCUACCCCGCGUAACGACGGAUCGUCGUAUCGUGUUUACGAGGUGAACCGACCCCGGGGUUUCCCCUCGUGUCCCCCACACGCGCGAUGAGAGAAGAACCUUACGAGGAUCGUCGAGAGAGUCAUUCCCGUCGCGGUAUUCGUUACGCUCCCGUAAUUGCUGGACGCGUCGGUUAAAGGUUGUCGUGCAAACCGAUACGAUGAGAGGUUCCAUACAGGGACACGCGGGAACGAAAUCGUUUAUUGGCGGGAAUCGUAAAGUAAUCGGUUCGCGACACCGGACUUUCCGUGCAAUCAUGAAUUUCCGUCGAUUUGCGUACGAACCUUCACUUUCACAACAGUAAUUGUACAACGUAUCAGCGUAUCGUUUCAACUCUUUAUUAAUAGCAACGAAGAGUUUAUACACUACACAGGCUAUGGUUCUUUUUUUACCCGCUAGUUUGAUACUUCGUAUAUCGAUACGUUCAUCGUAUAACGUGCAAUUAUCUACUUGUUCGUACAGGAGAAUUAAACAUGCACAAAGUACAAUGCAAUCUGAAUUAUCAUUUGGAAAUAAAUGAUUGCGUAAACAGAUACGUAUUGCGAGCAACGAGGGGGAGAGGGGAGGGGGGAGAUCGUGGUCGUACGAAUCGCUAUCCUGUCAAGCAGUAUUGGAAACGAAGCAAAAUUAAUUAAACCGGGAGCGUUAGAGAUCUGCGAGCGCGUGUAUCGGUUGCAGCGAUAAUUAAAACUACCGACAGGACGAAAAAUUUUUAAUCAGCGGCACGACCGCGGCGCGGACGAGAGCGGAUUGUCCCUCGAACGGCUCGGGAUAAUAUGGCACCGACAAAUUUUGAUUCGGCGCUUCACGAGGACGAAAAAUGAUGGAGAGAAAAAAAAAGGAAGAAACCGCGGGGGAAAAAAAUCAAAAACCUCGCUUGUUUGCGCGUAUUGGAGCUAAACGGGGGGUUGGCUCGCUUCCGCACACAAUUGUCGGGCCCGGACGAUUGACCGAGAGGCCGAAUGGUUGGGAGUUGCUGUAGCACGCGGGCGUGGUGCGCGCGAUAAAAAUGGCGCACGCUCGACGCGACGAGGGAGAUUCCCCCUCCCCCCUCUCCCUCCUUUUAUUCCCGAAUAAAUGCCGUGUGUGUGAUGCACCCCCAACAGACCGCCCUGGACUACCCUGUCGAAAAAACACUGUUCCUCCCUCCCUCCCUUCGCCUCUCUCUUUCUCUGUUAUCCCUUCACAGUCUCAUUCCACUGCCGCCACCCUCGCGUUUUCAACCAUCUAUCCAUGAUUGGGAGACACGAGCCUGUUUAACCCUCGAGCGGCUUAUUAUGCGGCAGUCGUAUGAACGGGCGGAUAGACGGAUGGCACGAGAAUGGUUUCGGCGGAGGCCGGGACGACAGAUUGAAGGAUUUUGGAGGGUUUCGGCGGUUUCUCGUGUCGCAUUGCGAAGAGAAGAGGUUUCCUUCUUUGUGGGCUCAAGUGGACGAAGUGAGCGUUACGGCAAAGGCGGACGUGAGAGACCUGUUUUAUGCUGCAAAUGUCGUCGAUGACAAACGAUUCGAUUAAAGUUCUCAGGCUUUGCCGAUGACACAGGGUUUCGUCUCGCAUCGGUACUAGUGAUAGUGACGCGACAGCAUACUAAUCAUGGUAACACACUAUGUUUAAUACUGCGAUCAGAAUAAUUAUCGGUGAUAAACAUCAAGUUUAAACUUUUACAAAAUUGUUUAUUGGAACGCUCUAACGACUCGAGAAUUGACAUCGUGCUGUGCUAAUUGAUACGAGCAAUUUAUGGGGUGACAGCGCAGGAUGAGUUAUAGUUCUCCCCGACGGCUUGUCAUAACAUUACAGCCAUGAGGGUGCUAUGGGAUAGACACUAAAAGCAAUCAAUAAUUAAGUAAGGUUAUCCGGAAGUUCAAUCGUUUGUCGCAUUAUAGGCUUGCCGCGUAAUUACGAUAUUAGGAAUUAGGAGUUUUAUCUUUAAAAUAUAAAACGUUUUCCUUUAGACAGAACAGAGUUUAAGAAAAUUAUUGAAUAAAGUAUUCAAUUAAAUUUACGUAUAAUUAUAACUGAUCAUUGAUGAUCAUUUUAAAGUAAUAUUUAUUAAUUGAUACAAAAUGUAUUCAAUAUAAAAAUAUAUUUAUGCACAAUAUCGUUAUAUAUAUACAUACAAGAUUAUUUCUCGAAUAUUUUGGAUAAAAAUAUAUUAACUUUACGUUAAAUAAUUAUACCAUGACAAUUUGUGUUUCUUAAUUGAUGAAUAUCGCGCGUAUUGUGUCGCUUGAGUGAUUCAAGCAGCCCGUGCAACAUUCCGGGCACCUGAUGCCGCUGUAAAAAAAAAGAGCGAACAAGUGCAUAAAAAAAACGAAUCCAGGGUGUUGAAGCAACGGGGUAAAAUCAUCCCCUACAAUCCCAUUUCCGAGUGCAAUAAACCAGACGAUGGAGGAGAACGCCGCUGAGCAAUAAACCGAUCCGGAUGAACAUUUCGUCGUGUACCGAACGAUAUCGUAUCUGAAUUUCCGCAGAAUGCCCGAUCGUUUCACGCAUCCGUGAUCCAUCUAUCUAUCAAUGCAUUACGCACGCGCAUAUACGCACCUUUGUGAGGAACUAUAUUAUUCUUAACGCGAUAGUUUAAUUAUUUUAUUUUAUUUAGAGCACAAGAGACUUUAAUCUAGAAUAUUUCUUCAGAUAUGGAGCGCAUCUAUAGAUGCACUUGUCUUUUUCGUAAAUACGAAAAAGUUUGUGUAACGCAAUAGUUCUAUUAGAAGAUGACGUAAUAUGUUGUCCAUUUCAUAUAAUAUUCGCCCAAUAAAUAAUUUGAUCAAAGUACGGCAAAUAUUAUAAAUAUUAUAAACUGAUUGAUCAAAGAAGAAGAUAGAUCGGAGAAAAACUUGGCUGCACGAACAGACCAUUUUAACAGAAAGGAUACAUUCCCCGGGUAUAGCUUUAAAUAGCGAGACGAUGCGAUAUUCUGCCGGACUGACCGAUGCAUCGUACGUGCAUGGAUUACGUGCCUGCAAUAUAGAAAGGGUUAUGCUCACACACGAGAAAACCGAUUAUCUAUUGCACCGCACCGGGCGCGUAGAUAACUCCAUCCUAAUGCACAAUAAGGAAACGUAGUACGUGCGUUGCGCGCAUUAAAAGAGAAGAGGAAAAAAAAAUAGCGAACGCCAAUUAUUAAGAUAAUAAUGAAGGGAGAAAGCUAGCGGUCUGUUAGAUCACAAAUUAAUGUCUCUGCUAUUAAUGUUCAAACUCGUCGACGUAACUGUGAUUUUUAGAAUCCCGCGAGCUAGCGCCAAAUAAUUCACAUAAAUCACACAGUUAUUUUAAUUCGAAGAAUACUCUGUUAAUUAUGGAAUUUCAUUAAUAAAGUUUUAGAUAGGCGUCGAAAGAGCUGAUAAAAAAAUUAGAUCUGAGAAAUAUACUUCUGCUAGAAUUCAAACAUGAAUCUUUCCGACAAGACUCUAUAGAUACGAGGUUCCGCAACAGUAACUAGCAAUCUAAAAUACAUUCCGUUCGGUUCGAACGUUCGGUAUAAUUUUGCGGAGCAAUAGCGGGGAAAGGAUCUCUCUCGAUCUUUUAACUUUCCAAACGGCGUUUCGCUCGUAAACUCAACCCACCCGUGAGCCACCUUGUCCCUGAGAAUCUCUGUCCUUUGACUAUCGCUAUACAAUAUUCAUGCUGCCGUGCCAAGUGUCUCGCAAUAACUUAGUUAUCUCACGAUGAUUGUGACUCAAAUAUGCGCAUGCGGAAUAUUAAUGCCGUCGGAAAGAGCGCGCGCGUUGCAAUAUGCACGGAGACGUCGUGCGGCGCGGCGCGGCGCGGUGCGUCCGUGUGGCAACGGUUGCUCGGAUGCAACGCGGGGGGAAACGACGCGACGCGGGCGCCCAUUGCAAUUGCGUCCUCUAUCGCGUCGGCCGGCGCGUAGCCGCGUUUACGUAGUUGCCGGUGGACGCUGUACCAGGGGUGUAAUGGGCAACGUGCACGCUGUCGAUAGUUAUUGCUUUGUUAUUGGGCUGUGCGACGGGACGUGUCCGCGCUACCGAGCGACGCGGCGCCGAAUAUUGCACGGAGGUCGUUUUAUUGGAAAUUUCCCGCGGCCCACUUCUGGAUUUCCGCGAUUUUCCCGUUCGCGCGGACGUGACGACGCGUGCCAGCGUGGCGCUUUUCCACGUUCGCUUUCUCCCGGCGCCCGCUUUUGCGCUUUUUUUUUGCUCCCUUUUUGCAUCCUCUCUUUUUUUUUUUGCAAGCGGCGUUCUGUAAAAUCCGGGGCUUCCGAGUAAAUCCGAGUUUAUUAUUAAAUCAAAGCUCGUAACGCGACACGCGCGCAAACUGGUAUUUUUUUUUCUCUUUUUUUAGAAUUUCUGGGUCACUAGAAACGAUUUCAAAGUGUUCCGUGUUUUCUAAAUACGAAAAACGUGAAUUAAAUGAAGAAUUUUCUGAUAUUAAAAAAAUUUGGAGAAAUUUUGAAGAACAUGUUUUAAUAAGGAAGAAAUAGAAGGUGAACGGAGGAAAAUGAUGAACCUCAUAAAAUUGUAAUUGCCACAAAGAUUAAAGAAAUAGUUUGAAAUAAUUCCAUCACCGACGUUAACGUGUAUAGAUUUAUAGCAUAUUUCAUCAAAAAGCUCGAUACGCAGAGGCCUUUCUACGCUAACAGUUUCCUCCAUUUUCGGAAGAACGUUCGAUCCAAUUGGAUCCAAUCACGAACGGUAGGGCUGCACGUGGCUUAAUUGAUUUGAUUUCGAGGGGUUUUCAUCCCACUUUCGACGCGUACUUCCCUACAACGUGACAUUAAACAUUGUGUGGCACUCCCCUCUCCGUUUUUACUUCGCCUUACCCUUAUGAUUUCUCCAAAAGGUCGCCCGGGGUUCCGUAUGCGCUCACAUAUACACACAUACAUACGCAUUACGUGCGUACGUACGCGCAAAAUCGAGGGUUUCUAAUACCAUCCAGUUUGCAUUCAGCAAUUAUGUUUCAUUGUAAUAUUCAAGAAUGUACCUUUUUCUGUAUAGUUAAUAGUAUAAUUCUUAACUACUUUAUUCUGCGAAAGAAACGGGAAAAAAUCGGUGAAUCGCACGUCACGUGAAGUCCCUUUGUGUGAAUGCGGGCGCACCAGACGCCAUUGUAAUGCCCCUGAUUGUAUUGUACAUAAGUUACAUGUCACCUGAUUGUAUUCGUCCAUCGUGACUAGUAGUUUCCAUCUUGUUUCUCUGAAUGCAAUUGAUUUCGAAUAAAUUACACAUAAUGAAGGAGAACCAUUGCUUCACGAAAUUACAGUCGACUUUCUUUCCCGAUUUCUUUAGGAGAACUAUUUUUUGCCACUAAUGAUUAAGAUGGCCGAAUACUGAUUGUUUGGAAGAAUAGUUUUCAAGUUUGUAUAUAAAAAAAAUUAUAGAUUGAUUUCUAAAUUCACAAUUUGAUGCCUUCCUUUUCAAAUUAUUUUUAUUCGUUUAUAACUUAUAUCAUUAACAUCAACCAAAGUUCGUGAAAAUUUACCCAUAAUUUUAUUAUAAUUUUAUUCCAUAAAAUAAUUGUCAGUAGCUGACAGAGUUUAGCUUCAAGGACGUUCUAAUAUUUCAUAUGAACUUUAAACGAUUUAUUUAUAUGUAAAACCUUGAAUGAAAAUACAAAGAUUUACACUUAGCACUUCUUCACCUUGUUUAAAAAUAAUUUUGCAAUGAUAGAAUUAAAAAAAAAUUUUUUCUUCAUGCUAAUUAUCGUAUUGUACUAGAGCCAGCUUAAUCGCGAAAGGAUGAGUUGUCAUGGCAGAAAACCGCAAUUGCUCAUGAUGAUUCCACGUUUCGUCACACGUUUGUUGCAAAAUCUAAUUUAGAACGUAUAUACGACUCAUACGAAUAUACCGCAUGAUAGUCGCACCGGCGUCUAUGCGACUCGAGGCAAAUUGCGAGCGUGGAGCCGAUUUCAUCAACGUUCGCGCGAGGAUAUCAUCGAUCUCUUUGCCUAUUACAGGACCAACCGAACCUAGCUUGCCAGCACCGGAAACCACAAGCGCGCAUGAUGAUUCAGUGACUCGUCAUACGCUCGUUACAAAAUCUAAUUUAAAAUUGAGAUGAUGUACGAGAUUAAGGCGUGGAAAGUUCUGUCGUGUUGCAAGAAACCACGAACAAUUAUACUAGCUUCGUCAAUUACAGUCUAAUUGGAAAGGCGUAAAAACCCCAUAAUACGUAGCUGCAAGCGUAAAAUCUUUUCAAGUCUGCUUUACAGAAUUGCUUAGUUUUUAUUUAAUGAAACAAACAAUGCGUGUGUUCGUUAUUACGCUUAAUUAAUUAUUACACAACGCAACAAGUUUCUUGUUACAUUUAAAUUUCAAUUAAUUGUCUUCAUGUGUUGUCCAUAAUUGUAGUAUGUUAAGUAGUCAGUCUAAACAAAGGAAGCGUAAAGAGAAGAAAUCGUGCAUUGCCUCGUUCUACAAUGUAAUUUUCAAUAUCCAGCUUAUUAACUCGGAAUAAUGCCACGUCCCUGGAGCUUUAACCCUCCUUGAGAUUACAAGACUUGCCGACGUGUCAGUGGUGGUGGAUCCAACAUAAUACAUAUAUAUCCGUACGAAAUCUUAUUCACGUCUCGUAUUGCUGGGGUGAAAGGAAUGCACAUAGUCGUAAAUUGAAAAAUUAUGAAAAAUUAUGAAAUUGAAACAGCGAGUAGAUAAAUUAUUUUAACAAAAAUUUCACUAAGGAAAACACUAGGAAUUUUUUUAUAGAUUAAUGUGAUUUACAUUUUUUAAUAAAAUUAUCCUGACAUGUAUUGAAUAUUACAUUGGAAAAAAAUUGUCCAAAAACUAAAUAGUUCAACAAAAAAUUGAGUUGGUAAAGUUAAUUUUUGGUUUAAAAAAUGUUUAUGAUUGACGUGAAUAGACUAUAUUUUUUUUGUGCAACUAAAUAAAUAACUCAACCCAAUGUUUAUUUGAAUCAAACUAAAUAUUUUAGUUUUCCUACAAAUUUUUUUCUCAGUGUAUAAAUCAUAUGUACAAUAGUGUAGGGGUAUUAUUUAAGAGAUCUUUUAUUCGCUACAAAUAAGACAUAUGUCUUUGUGAAAAAACGUUAGCCUCUCUCUCAUGUAGAAUACUAAAGUCAGACUCGUGUAAUAUCUCAAAAGAAUAGUUAAAGAAUAUUAAUUUUUAUUCGAGUGUAGCAUAAAUCAUGUGACGUUUUUAUUCAUAAAAUUGCUUAAUUUUACGAUACAACAAAAAGUUAAUACGUUUUCAGCCGAAGAAAUCUAAACGGAAAAAAUUAACGCUGAACGUUGCGUGUUCAACUCUGACCGCGUGACUGGUGACUUCAGCACUUCUUCUCGCGCAUCCUCAAACGGGAAGAAGUCUUUUCCCGUGUCCCUUCAAUGCGACGCCUAUCUAUCCACGACCACGUAGGCGUUUUUUAUGCGAACAUUCCCGCGCCCUAACCCGUCUCCUUUUCGAGCUCGAGUGUGCGAGAGGCGAGUAUUAAAGUUCUGUUUUACGUGCCAUCGCGGAAAUGACGAAUCCCGUUUCUUUCUCGUGCUCCUCUUGGCAGGCAAGUUAAUGGUCGAAGCUUCCGCAGACUUUCAUAAUUUCGGAGGGGGGGGGGAGACGAAUCUCUUUCCGGGAGACGUUUCGAAAUCCCACUUUUCUUUCUGCUGGAGCUCCGAAGCUUCUCGAGAAGUUUGAUUGCUACAACGCGCACCGCGAUGUCUCGGGAAGAUGUCAGCGUUUCGGCUUGUACGCGGGAGACGAACAAUUUUGAAUGAUAAACGAUAUAUCGCUGAGAAACGUUACGUUAUGCGAGCAGCUGCUCUUCUCUUCGUUCAUAAGCGCAUUUGCGCAUGAGAUAGCGAACAGCGUACACGCUCACGUCAUCGUGUAAAUUUGUCUAACGAAUUCCGAAUUAUUAGCUGAAAUAACUGUGCGUCAGUAAUUUGUUAGAGUACUAUUAAUCGAGUGAUAUCGUGCUAUAUGAAGAGCAGCGCUAAAAAUAGAUACUUUGCACGAUCGUAUCACAUUUAUAUUCAAUGUGAUUGAGCGAUUACGGUAGUCAUCAAAGGGAAAAUUUAUCUUGACGGUAAAACAUUGGGAGGUAAGAGAUCUCAUGAAUUUCAAAUUUCGUCGCGUAUAAUUUAGAAAGACAUUGUAGACACAGUAAUAAUUGCUUUAAAUCGCAAAGCUUUAGCUUGUCAUUACGGUAGCCUAUUCUGGCUAUUUCCGAAAGCAAAAUGAUGGUCGGUAGCGUGUCGUAUACCUGUGUAACCUGUAUUACACGUGUCAGUUAUCUAUCUGCGUACCUAUAUCUCUUUCGGCCGAUUCGUGUGUCGGUUAUUUUUACAGGUCCGAUAAUUUCACGCCUCUCCUUGCGUCCUAGGAAAGACGCGUUCUACGUUAACCCCACUUGUCGCGCAGUGGUAUUGUAACAACGAGCAAUUUUGUUCGUCGGUGAACGGGCGGGCACCUUGCUAUUUCACCUUGAAACCGGUCCAACGGUGCUUCCCUUCGGCUCCGGCCGAUCGAAUCGAAUCUCCAUGUCCGAUCUCUCGUUCACCCGUAAACGAGUUCCAUCGCGCGCGCGGCUACGAGAAUGAUUCGCAAGUAUCGGUGUUUACUCGUGCAGUCAUCUUCUAAAUUGCGACGCGUUUAUGACUGCGUGUCGAUGAGAGAUCAAUACGGCAGAGAAAGAUUAUUGCUGCGCGGACACUCGUAUUUCGAAGUGUCCGCUCUCGCGAGAUAUGAAAGACAGUAAUAUCUUUUAUGUUUGGUAAUUAGACGCGUUCGGAAGAGGCGGGCGGAAUGAGAAAUGGCAUAUUUUAUCGAAUAUAUUUUAUCUAAGGAAUGCUAAUGGCGAUACGGCAUUCUGAUUUCAAUGGCCAUUGAUGCAACGGCAAUUGCAUGCUGGUGUUUCUUACAUGGACGCACGGCAGUGCUCUCUUACGUAAUUAAUUACGGACGGAUGCUCGACCGAUAGAGAAUAACUAAUUAUCUUUAUCUACUUCGGAAUCGUUCAUCGAGGUGCUUCUCGCGAUUCUCGCGAUUUUCACAUUGUCCCUGCUGCAUCAUCGGUAUCGGAAAUAAAAUCGGAAAUAAACAAGCAGCAGAAUCGUACGUUUGACCAGCACUCGGGCGUUUCAAAAUGUGCCAUUCUAUACGUGCUUCUGAAAAUUCGAACGCGUGCUGCGGGAAUACAAAAGAGGAAGAGUCGGCGAGCUCGAGAAAGAGAUCGCUCGACAGUGAUAUGUAAUGUAUCUGGCAUGACAAGGCGAGAGCAAUUAAAUGUCGCCGGAUGCAGCUGCAGGCGAUUGCGUCAUCGGAGCUACUUUGCAACCUUGAUCUCUUCUCGGAGGGGUCUCUUCACCGCGGCUCCCGCCUCCUCCUCCUCCACCUCCUCCUCCCCCUCUUCCUCCUCUCUUUAUAUCGAGUAUCUUGUUCCUCCACCUCCGUCUCUCUCGUCCCUUUCAAAACUUCAGUGCCGUCCUCUCUUUAGUUGCGAUGAUCGGCGUUGUCGUCGGACGCCGUUUGCAUUCUGCACUUGUGCCGCGACAACUUCUGCGCCUUUUUACGAUCCGCGAAAGAUGUAACGACGUUUUACGACCACGCGUGUAUGCGAGAGUGGCCGUGCGAGAGCCACGCGAGGUCCUUUCUAAAAAAAAAAUUCCACGACACUCUAAUAAAAAGUCACGAUCCUAUCCCGCAGUUUAGAAUUUUACGAUGAUGCGUGUAGCGUUUUAUAGUAUGUCGAAGCGGAAGCGACUAUCGAUUGGCCGGCCCACGAUCGGGUGAGCCGGCCCGAAGGCGCGUCGCAUUAAAAACGGUUUAUCUUAUGGUUAACGAUUGACUACUCCGAGCAGGUUUCAGCGUUACACGCGAUCGCCUUGUCUGCUUGACGAGAGAAUAAAUUAAUAAUUUAAUAAUCAUUGAAAGAAGUGACAGGUUAACCUGUUGCACAAAAGGUUGUCGCUGGCCUUUAGAACGGCUUUUGCCGUCUGCUUUCUGGAGCCAUCGCGAAUCUCCAUCCUUGUGACGGCGUUACAAAAACGCGUGACGAAGCGGACCCUUUUUUGUCGCGUUUUGGGUCGCGUCGUGAUACUUGCGAAGAAUCGUGGGACUCGUUGAACUGUGUACCGUAGUUUAAGCUCUUUAUACAUAUUAGCAUGCCGUUAAGGAUAAAUUAACAAUUUAGUAAUCAUUAAUAAAGUUGAUUUUAAAAUAUAGCUUCCGCCGUGUCCGCUCUUUCAAGUCCGAGUCUUAACGCGGCAACAUGCUGCAAAAACGCGUGAUGAAAUGAACCUUUUUUUUGUUAUUUUAAUCCUUUAGAGACUCGUUGAACCCUAGUCCAUAGUUUGAGCUCGUUAUCCUUGCGUGCUGAUGACUCGAGAAUAUAUAUUCUUGAGUACCGUUCAAGUUUAUUACGAUUUAGAGUCAAAGUGCAUUUUAUAUAUAUAUAUACAUAUAUAUAUAUAUAUAUAUAUAUAUAUAUAUAUAUAAGUGUAUUAUUAUUUAUUUAUUUGUGUUACAUUAUGAGAAAUUUAAAAAAUAUACGAGAAUAUAGAAUUGUACGGGAGAUUAAUUUAUAAUGGCUGUAGAAAAAAAACUUAAUGAGAUAAUGCCGUAUAGUAAUAAAUAAAAGACGAUACGUUGAGAGAUAAAACAUAGAAGAAACCUAGUGGGAAGCUAUUUUGUCAACUCAGUCAAUUUAGGAUCGGUUCAAAUUAGGGUCAGAGUGGUCACGAACGUGGAUGCGGGCGCGUAAAAUCUUUUAAGAGGGAAAAAGAAGUUCCCACGAAUCGUGGCGAACGUUGCAGGAAAGCCUCUAGUCUUCGUGCGCGACGAAGCUUCGUCUUAAAUUCAAUUCACACAUGGUUAAACAAGCGUCACGUUUCUCCUUUUUUUUUUCACACAAUCGUACUGUCACCGUCGUUGAGUCAAACGUGAUGGCUCGUAUCCUUUUAGAGCCGUACGACAGCACUUUUAUUGCUCUUUUUCCAAGAAUAACGAGCGAGGGAGAAGCCACGGUAGUAGAACAUUAUUAGUUUUUAGUAUCCUCAACAAUGUAACAUUCCAUUUUGCCUGCGAAACCUGUAAAACGCUAUAAAAUUUGUCUACCUAAUAAACUUAUCGUUCCAGCGGAUACGACAGACGCGAUAGACCAAAAAGAAAAGCGGAUGUGCUAGUGAAACAAUCCUGCUUUAUUUUUGACGAUAACAGACCCGUGAUCGAUACUGCCGAAAUAACUUUAACUGCAAAAUUUACUUCUCGUCAUAUGUCAAACGAAUUUCAGACAGGCGUCAAAGAUUGAAUAUCGACUUUUGUGACUCGGGUCACACGAUCUAUUGCCUCCGUACACGUUUGCGCAUAUAUCGCACACCCUGUUCGGCGCGAUUGGUUCAGCGGAAAGCCGAUGCCGCCAGCUACUCUGAAUAAUUAAACUAGCUCCCUGAUGCGUGAUCUGAUUGGUUUCACGCACGGAAAUUCUCUGCGCGCUCGCACAUUUUGUGACAAAAAAAAUACUGCAUGUUUAGUUCAAUCUGUAUCGCGGCGUUCGCGUGACAUUCGCGAUAUCAAAUUUAGCUCCGUUACUAUCCUCACAUGCGAUUGAUGGAAUACAAAAACGACAUCGCAGAAAAAACUAAUUAACUAAUGCUGUAUUUUUUCAAAUAAUCCAUAAUCAUUGCGCAUUCGUUUGAAGGUUCAAUAAGUUUACAAUUUCUUUUUUUGCCUCGAAAGAAUAAUUGUAAAUCUCUGUUCCAAUCAGUCGAUCAAGGAAAUAUAGUGAAUAUAUUACGAUAUAUGAGCGCGGGUUACGUGUAUUCGUACGUGAUAAAACACGAGAGAUAUUUAAAGAUUCGUGAUGAGGAUUCACAGAAGAAUAUCAGCGCGUAAAAAAAAAACUCUUG